GGUAACAUGCUUACAGUGUGUUUAUCUUUGCACUGCAGCAAGAAAAAUCUGCAUAUGCCAGUAGUCUCUGUUACAGAUAUGUAUCUUUUGCAGUAUUUACAUCUUGGGACAGAAUUCUGAUAUUUAUUUCAUUUAAGUUCUUUACUAGAUAUUUGUGCAUCUUUACCUCUUUUAGGAUGCGGGACCUAAUUUUGUUUCUGUGUGUGAUUUUUGCUUAUGAAUCUUUCAUGAAUUUGCUUCGGACAAUGCUGGCUAUCUUCCACCUAUAUUCUGUGAGGAAAGCAAACAUUUGCAACUGAGAAGCUGCUUGUAUUCACAGGUAUUCUUUUCUGAAGCACCUCGUGCUGUGUAGUUGCAGGUGUUUGGGGUCUUUUUUUGUUUGUUUGUUUUCCAAUGUCAAUAUUGGACAGCUGCAUGUAAAGUGUGAAACAGAACUAAAGUCAGGAAGAAACAGGGUAGUCGUUACAUUCUUUUUCUUUUUUUCUCCUUUUUUCCCCUUCUCGUUUCCACUAUGUUGCAUAUAAUUUAAAGACUAACGUACUGAAUCUCCGAGAGUAGGUGGAAAUAUUGAGGGCAACUGACAUAAAGUUUCACUAGUAACAAGUAAUUAUCAUCUAUAAACUCUUCCAAAGAACUACUUCUGUCAGAUGAGUAACCAGUUUGCGAGAAGAAUUGCUGCAAGCAGCACAUAAACCACGACUGUGGUACAGUUAAAAGGAGCACUUCUGUGUACAGAGAGAAGUUAGGCUGCUCCCAGUCUGAAAACUUGGAGCAAACUGAAUGUGCAGCUGAAUAGAAAGCAAGUCAAACUGCAGGAGUAUUUUAUCACCACCUUUGUAAAACAAAAAAGUCAGGCUGGAAUGGAGUUCCAAAGCCCUGUAUUCAAGAAAUGAGGAGGAACGGGAAGGCACCAAGAUGGCUCUGCAGAACAGUGGCAGUACUGUCUCUAAGGCUAUCACCUCUGUGUUGUGUGAACUGGGCCAUCAGCUGUUUGGACAACAGUAACUGGAAUGGAAAAGAAAUUACUUGAAUCUAACAGAGGGUGUAUUCUGCUAAGUGGCUGCAGUGUAACAGGAACAGCUGUCAAUUUAAGAAAUGCUUCUCACCUUUCUGCUGGGGGAACCUCAUGUUAUUUUCCAAGGUCCAGAUCUUGUCAUCAUGGCUUAGUUUAUGGAUAUUUACUUUACAUUCUUCUUCCUUCAUGUUUUUACCAAGACAAAUUCCUUUCUUUACCCUGUUUAAGCUGUGGACAACUCCUGUGAUGAUAACAUCAGAAGUUUGUGCCCUGUUCCUGUCUCACUUGAAGCCAGUGAGUUCCUGUAUAGAUUUCAGGACAAAAUGCAGUGGGCCACUGAGCAGACUUCAAAAUUGUGAACCAAAGACAUCAAAACAUAGAUAGGAAUGAUCUUCACUCAAGAAAAUGCAAUAGCUGCUAUUGCAGGGAAUCAACAUUUUGCUGAGCUGGUGCAAGUCCAGAGCAACCUCCCAGAAUGGUGGAAUUCCUUCAACAGCUAAAACAAGAAUGCUGACAGAAGAUGAGGCAAGGAACAACAGCUUUGUGUUCGGUUCAGGAAGAUUGAGAGUUUUUUUCUGUUUAUCCUCCUGGCAUGUCAAGGCCUGCAUUGCAAAUGGAUGGGACUAGACAGAGGCCCUGCUGAAGAUGGUUUUUGCCUGAGGCUUCUCAUCAUGACCUACAAGAUGAGGAAUUACUGCCUCUAGCCCAGUGAUUACUUCUAAUAUCAGAAUAGAGAGUAGACAAAGAAAGAGUUCCCUUUGUUAAAUCACAUUCCCAGGAGCAAAUCAGUUCCCUCUUCUGCUGGGUCAGCAUUGAUGUUUCUAGAUCUUAACAUGUCUGCGAAAAAGCCCGACUCUUUUGUACUCUGCUGGCAACUUUAUUUGAAUCACUGGAGGAAUAUAGUGUGCUCCUUUCCCUGGCAGCAGGUAUAUGCUUGGCAGCUCUGAAAUUGCUUCUAGAGCAAAUAUUUUCUUCCAUGGUAUGAAGAACUGCAUGUAUGACAAGUAUAAAAAUCUCCAGGGAUUUUUUUUGAGAUAUUGUAUCUUUAAGUAAAUUGAGAAUUUAGAAAAUGUAUGCAUGUCUGUUGGAAUUUAUUUAGCACAUUCUCCUGUAUUUAAUACAAUAGAUCCAAGAAGAAUAUUUCUUUGUUGAUUUAAUGAUAAAAAGAUGUGCCCCUUACAUGUUCAGCUUUUGAUAAUGUCUGCCUGAAAAAUAAACUAUUGAUAUGGCACAAAAUGAAUGUACUGGUUUUCUGAAAUUGGCUUUGCUAUGGUUUUGUAGUAACUUUUUGGAAACAUUGUUUUGUCUUCUGGUAAAUUUCACAAAAUUACACCCACUCAAAUAUAAAAAGAUGUUUUGGUUUUGUACUUCUAAUGCAUUUUAUAACUAUUGCAUAUGGAGAUAUCAGCCAUUGGUUGUGUUAACUUCUUUUUCUUCAUUUUAAUGUUGUUCCAUCAAACCGUGUGGGUAUUUGCGUACGUAUAGCUGGAGAUAAGAGUAAACCACAAAAUUACUGAAAAAAUGUAUUUGUACUUUUUUCAUAAUUAAGAGGUUG